CCCCUUUUGAUUUUAGGCAAAGUUACCGCAUAUGUGAGAGGAUGGAUUUAUUUUAUAGAACAAAAUGAUACCUAAUAAAAAAAAUAACCUCUCCAUUGGACGCUUCGAUGAUUAUCAUCGCCGAUUUUACUACUCAUGCGUUCAUGCUGAAUUAUUUUACUACUACAAUGCACUGGUUUCUCUAGGGCCAAAAUCCUUGGAAAGAGUCAAUGAUUUUAUUAGUAAUAAAAAGUACCCUGUCUUG
rnacentral:lncRNA from 1 species